GCAGGGUGAUGAGGAGGCCAGGGUGACGAGGAGGCCCUGUUAACCCAGCAGGGUGAUGAGGAGGCCAGGGUAUUGAGGAGGUCCUGUUAGAACAGCAGGGUGAUGAGGAGGUCCUGUUAGACCAGCAGGGUGAUGAGGAGGUCCUGUUAGACCAGCAGGGUGAUGAGGAGGCCCUGUUAAACCAGCAGGGUGAUGAGGAGGUCCUGUUAAACCAGCAGGGUGAUGAGGAGGUCCUGUUAGACCAGCAGGGUGAUGAGGAGGCCAGGGUGAUGAGGAGGCCCUGUUAAACCAGCAGGGUGAUGAGGAGGCCAGGGUGAUGAGGAGGCCAGGGUGAUGAGGAGGUCCUGUUAAACCAGUAGGGUGAUGAGGAGGCCAGGGUGAUGAGGAGGUCCUGUUAACCUAGCAGGGUGAUGAGGAGGCCAGGGUGAUGAGGAGGCCAGGGUGAUGAGGAGGUCCUGUUAAACCAGCAGGGUGAUG
ensembl:lncRNA